rnacentral:rRNA from 1 species
CUGCAGACGCCGGAUCUACCGGAUUAUCUAAUACCAAGACUAAAGAUGCGAUUCAAAGAUGUAGAGAAAGCAAGGGAAUUUUAUAACAGAUAUGCCAGGCACGCUGGUUUUGGAAUCAGGAAGACGAGUGGAAAUCAACACAAGUAUUUUGUUUGCGCCUUCCAAGGGAUACACACAUCUUCUGUUUCUGAGGCCAACAGGAAGCGAAACAAAACAUCGCAGAGGACGAGCUGCAAUGCAAGAAUGAGGGUGAAGGAGGAUGACACAUGCGUGGUGGACAUUGAGUACAAUCAUAAUCACCAGCUCAUGCAAACUGAUGACAUGCUGGUAUUUUUGCACUCACACAAGAAUUAUGACCCCACUAUUCUGGAGUAUGUAAAGCUCCUGUAGUACCAUGAUGUCAAGCACACAACAAUCAUGUCCAUGCUAUCUGAAAAUGAAGAUGGAAGCUACUUCCUAAGCAUGACCGGACGAGACCUACUAAACCAGAAAGCCAUGAAUGCAAGGAAAGAUGAUUUGGAUGAUGUAUUAAAACUUGUUUCAUUCUUCAAAGACAUGAAGGCAAUAAAUGAUGAGUUUUUCUAUGACAUCCAAGUGGACAAGGACAAGUCAACUAAAAACAUUUUCUGGUCCAAUGCAAGCUGCCGAGGAGCCUAUCAAGACUUCGGCGAUUGCGUAACAUUUGACACGACUUACAAGACCAACAGAUUUCAUAUGCCCCUGGGAGUGUUUAUUGGAACAAACCAUCACUUGCAGUCAAUGAUAUUUGCUGUUGUCCUGAUAAGAGACGAAGAUGCAAAGUCAUUCAAGUGGUUGUUCGAUACAUUUCUAUGGUGCAUGAACAACAAGCACCCAACUUGCAUUCUAACAGACCAGUGCCCAUCGAUGGCGAAAGCUAUACCACAAUCAUUUCCAAACACCGUCCACAAGCUAUGUCGUUGGCACAUAUUGAAGAAGUACAGGGAAUACCUCGCGUUGCUGUACAAAAAGUAUAAAACAUUCAAAGAGGAGUUCACAACUAUAUUGAACUGGCCGCUGAUGCCAAUGGAGUUUGAAGAUGCCUGGGCUGAACUCGUGCACAAGUACCACCUGGAGAACGACCAGAUGAUGAUGCAGCUCUGGAGUGAUAGGAAGAUGUGGAUUUCAGCAUAUUACAAGAACAUUUUCUGUGCUAGAAUGACUUCCACACAACGAAGCGAGAGCAUGAACCACGUGCUAAAGAAAGGGUUUAUCAAGGGGACCCAGAACCUACACAAGUUUGCUAGGCGGGUCAAUGCUUGCAUACAAACUCGGAUGCAGAAGGAGAACGAGCAAACAAUGGCCAGCAUGGUAUGA